UCCGGCAUCCUCACCCCUCUGCUGCAUUUAGCAGACCCUCAGCGCGGCUGCUGCCUGUCUAGCUGGGAGAAGUGUGGGUUGCCAAAUAGAAGCCCAGACGGGAGCGCAGGGCGGGAUACCAGAUGUGCGCUAUCCUCCCGCGAGCUGGUCUCGGACUCCGGAGAAAUGCCACAGCUUCGGGCUCCGCACUUUGCUCUCCUAGUCUAAUCCUGGUCUCGUUAGCACCACUUUACUGCGGAGGAAAUAGAGACCUCCAGGGAUAUCUCUGAGCCCCAGCGACCCUGGGUCUGUGUAUCCAGGUCGUCCGUGGGUUGUGGCGGGAACGCGAAGGGUCGCCAGCGGUCACACUAAAAGCGAAGUGUGCAGCUCUCCAGGCGGUUAAAGGCCAUCGGUGUGGGUCCUGCUGGCGGCUCCCACCCACACCUGCUUUUCCUAGGCGGUCCUCUCGGUUGGGAUCAAAGAAGAUGCCCGCUCCUGCGUAAGGGUCUGGGGAGCGGCCCUCUGCCCCGCAGUGAAGAGGUUCGAUGUGAUCUCCCGGUCUUGAUGAAAACGUCCUAGGAGGAAGACUGCAGGCGCUUUCAAUGCAAAACGUCGCGGUUGGAAGAUUGGGCUUGCGCUGUUUGGCAGCCUCGACUCGACAUUUACUUUUCUCAUUCUGCGUGUGUUUGUUGGGCACCUACUACACGCCAGGCAGCCCUGGAUGCCCGACAUAUACGCAACGAACUUCGACCUUCCGGGUGUCCUUCCCUUGGUGACAGUGGGCACAUAAUAAACAAUGGACAAACAGAAGUUCUUUAGUGCUCGCAGAGAGGAUCGGUGACUGCGCCACAGGGUAUGGCGGGGGGCGGGGUAUAUCCAUUAAGGGGUUCUGUGUGUUGCGAGGGGAAGGAGGGUCGCAGAGACUUGCACUCACAAGAGGAACUUGCACCCACAAAGAUACCGAGGAGUCUGCGGAAACCUCCUUCCGGGAACGGUUCACCUGGAGCUGCUGGGCUGCCCCGCCCUGACUUCCUCCGCUCUGGCCUGGGUCUCCUGGGGCAGCCCUCUGCUAAGGGCGCUGGCUCUGACCUCCAGGUGAAAGCACACUCCUAACCAGUCUAUGCAUGUGAAGGCGAGUCUACUUUCCAGACUGGGGGUGGGGGUGCAUUUCUGGACUAAAGGGACUGCUGAGCUACCCAGAUACCAUCUUUGGAGCUGCCACCAGUCGGGCUCAGGAUGAAGCGGAAUAGGUAAAUUUACCGGCCUGGCCCGGAAAGGGCCCCAGAGCCGGAGCCCACAGAUGGUCGGGUGUCGCCUGCUGCUGCAGGACCUCCAAAGAAGCUCCUCCGAGGCGAUCCUGGGAUUGCUGAAAGAAGCUGCAAGCAAGCAAACAACCCCCCAAUAAAAUGCCGAGAGAAA